GACGAACGCUGCGGCGUGCCUUAACACAUGCAAGUCGAACCGAAAAGGCCCCACCUUGGUGGGGGUGCUCGAGUGGCGAACGGGUGAGUAACACGUGGGUGAUCUGCCCUGUACUUCGGGAUAAGCUUGGGAAACUGGGUCUAAUACCGGAUAGGACCAUGGUUUAGUGUCUCAUGGUGGAAAGAUUAUUGUUUUGGUGCAGGAUGAGCUCGCGGCCUAUCAGCUUGUUGGUGGGGUAAUGGCCUACCAAGGCGUCGACGGGUAGCCGGCCUGAGAGGGUGGACGGCCACAUUGGGACUGAGAUACGGCCCAGACCUCCUACGGGAGGCAGCAGUGGGGAAUAUUGCACAAUGGGCGCAAGCCUGAUGCACGACGCCGCGUGGGGGACGACGGGCUUCGGGUUGUAAACUCCUUUCGUUAGGGACGA
rnacentral:rRNA from 1 species